rnacentral:rRNA from 1 species
AUGCUGGAGGUAUCAGAAGUGCGAAUGCUGACAUAAGUAACGAUAAAGCGGGUGAAAAGCCCGCUCGCCGGAAGACCAAGGGUUCCUGUCCAACGUUAAUCGGGGCAGGGUGAGUCGACCCCUAAGGCGAGGCCGAAAGGCGUAGUCGAUGGGAAACAGGUUAAUAUUCCUGUACUUGGUGUUACUGCGAAGGGGGGACGGAGAAGGCUAUGUUGGCCGGGCGACGGUUGUCCCGGUUUAAGCGUGUAGGCUGGUUUUCCAGGCAAAUCCGGAAAAUCAAGGCUGAGGCGUGAUGACGAGGCACUACGGUGCUGAAGCAACAAAUGCCCUGCUUCCAGGAAAAGCCUCUAAGCAUCAGGUAACAUCAAAUCGUACCCCAAACCGACACAGGUGGUCAGGUAGAGAAUACCAAGGCGCUUGAGAGAACUCGGGUGAAGGAACUAGGCAAAAUGGUGCCGUAACUUCGGGAGAAGGCACGCUGAUAUGUAGGUGAAGUUGCUCGCGGAUGGAGCUGAAAUCAGUCGAAGAUACCAGCUGGCUGCAACUGUUUAUUAAAAACACAGCACUGUGCAAACACGAAAGUGGACGUAUACGGUGUGACGCCUGCCCGGUGCCGGAAGGUUAAUUGAUGGGGUUAGCGCAAGCGAAGCUCUUGAUCGAAGCCCCGGUAAACGGCGGCCGUAACUAUAACGGUCCUAAGGUAGCGAAAUUCCUUGUCGGGUAAGUUCCGACCUGCACGAAUGGCGUAAUGAUGGCCAGGCUGUCUCCACCCGAGACUCAGUGAAAUUGAACUCGCUGUGAAGAUGCAGUGUACCCGCGGCAAGACGGAAAGACCCCGUGAACCUUUACUAUAGCUUGACACUGAACAUUGAGCCUUGAUGUGUAGGAUAGGUGGGAGGCUUUGAAGUGUGGACGCCAGUCUGCAUGGAGCCGACCUUGAAAUACCACCCUUUAAUGUUUGAUGUUCUAACGUUGACCCGUAAUCCGGGUUGCGGACAGUGUCUGGUGGGUAGUUUGACUGGGGCGGUCUCCUCCUAAAGAGUAACGGAGGAGCACGAAGGUUGGCUAAUCCUGGUCGGACAUCAGGAGGUUAGUGCAAUGGCAUAAGCCAGCUUGACUGCGAGCGUGACGGCGCGAGCAGGUGCGAAAGCAGGUCAUAGUGAUCCGGUGGUUCUGAAUGGAAGGGCCAUCGCUCAACGGAUAAAAGGUACUCCGGGGAUAACAGGCUGAUACCGCCCAAGAGUUCAUAUCGACGGCGGUGUUUGGCACCUCGAUGUCGGCUCAUCACAUCCUGGGGCUGAAGUAGGUCCCAAGGGUAUGGCUGUUCGCCAUUUAAAGUGGUACGCGAGCUGGGUUUAGAACGUCGUGAGACAGUUCGGUCCCUAUCUGCCGUGGGCGCUGGAGAACUGAGGGGGGCUGCUCCUAGUACGAGAGGACCGGAGUGGACGCAUCACUGGUGUUCGGGUUGUCAUGCCAAUGGCACUGCCCGGUAGCUAAAUGCGGAAGAGAUAAGUGCUGAAAGCAUCUAAGCACGAAACUUGCCCCGAGAUGAGUUCUCCCUGACUCCUUGAGAGUCCUGAAGGAACGUUGAAGACGACGACGUUGAUAGGCCGGGUGUGUAAGCGCAGCGAUGCGUUGAGCUAACCGGUACUAAUGAACCGUGAGGCUUAACCUUACAACGCCGAAGCUGUU